rnacentral:rRNA from 1 species
AGAGUUUGAUCCUGGCUCAGGGCGAACGCUGGCGGCGUGCCUAACACAUGCAAGUCGAGCGGAGACAGUGAGUAGCUUGCUAUGAGCUGUUUUAGCGGCGGACGGGUGAGUAACGCGUGAGCAACCUUUCCCAGACAGGGGAAUAACACACCGAAAGGUGUACUAAUACCGCAUAAGACCACGGGAUCACAUGGUUCUGGGGUAAAAGAUUUAUCGGUUUGGGGUGGGCUCGCGUCCGAUAGUA